AGAGAGAGACAUGCGCGCAUAUCAAUAAGCGGAGGAAAAGAAACUAACUAGGAUUCCCUUAGUAACGGCGAGUGAAGCGGGAAGAGCUCAAAUUUGAAAUCUUCAAGGUUUUACCUUGACGAAUUGUAGUUUAAAGAAGUAGUUUUCGGUUAGAGGAGUUUAGGUAAAAGUUCUUUGGAAUAGGACAUCAUAGAGGGUGAGAAUCCCGUAUUUGACCUAUUUCUUCUAGCUGUGUGAUACACUUUCAAAGAGUCGGAUUGUUUGGGAAUGCAGUCCAAAAUGGGUGGUAAAUUUCAUCUAAAGCUAAAUAUUGGCGAGAGACCGAUAGCGAACAAGUACCGUGAGGGAAAGAUGAAAAGAACUUUGAAAAGAGAGUUAAACAGUACGUGAAAUUGUCAAAAGGGAAGCGUUUGACACCAGUGUUGUUUUUCCGAAAAUCAAUUACGAAUGUUUUGUUUUUGAGGAGUUAUGACUUCAUCGGCUUGCUCCUUUCUUUACGAAACUUUCUUAAUGCACUUUUCGGUUAACAAGUCAACAUCAAUUUCUUUUGUUGUAAAAGGGUAUGAGGAAGGUGGCUUUCUUUUCGGAGAAAGUGUUUAUAGCCUUGUGCCUCUGCAAUCGGAGAGAUUGAGGUCUGCAGCGUAGAUCCUUCGGGGUUAGAUACGUUUGUGCUAAGUUAUAGCCUUUCAUAGACAACUUGUUGACUAUGAUCAGUCAUGUAGCUUACUCGCUUAUGCUAUUUUACCUACGCUUAGGAUGUUGACAGCAGUAUAGACUGU
rnacentral:rRNA from 1 species